UUACCCAAUAAAACACACCAACAACAAUACCAAUGUACAACAACACAAGCAACAACAAAAAUAAUAUCCACCAGUGACGUUGAGCAACCCCGAAACCACAGGAUAAUGGAAAAUCCAGUGGUCUCUUCUCUCCCCAAUUCUGUUUCCAUGUCCGUCAACAUCACCCAUCUCUUCCGUCACUUUUCUAAAGCAAAAAUAGAGCCAAAAAUCUGCAAUUUAGGGAGAAGAUGAUAAAUUUGAAGAUUCAAUGGAUUCAAGGUGGUUUCACCUUCGAUUCCAACCUUAAUUUAAUGGGUCCGAAAGUAAAAGCUUCCAAGCCAUCUCUUUCCCUUUUUACAUCAACCGUAAGGUAAAAAUUCAAUCUUUUUCUUUUAUAUCCAAUUUCAUCCCUUUGUUUGCUCUCUGUGAUUUGGGCUUUCCAAGAAUUCAAACUAGAGAACCGUUGCAAGCCCUCCUUUAUUUUGGAUAUAAAAGGAGCCUUCAGACUCCCUUUUUAACUCUAGAUAAAUUUGUCUUUAAGGUACUUUAACUUUUCUUGCAGUCCAUCUAUUCCUCGUGUUUAAUCAUAGAAAGGGAGUUCCAAAUAUGGGUUUUUGUAAAGAUUUAUUCGAGUCAAAGAAAUAUGAGAUCAGUUAGUCAAUUUUCGUAGCAUAUAAAAAUUAUUUGUUGCGUUGUAAGCUCACAAGUUAUAUUAACUUUUAUUCGCACAUUUCUUUAUCAUAUUCUUUCUAGCUAAUUCAAUUUUCUUACAUGGACAUCGGAGUCGAAGAGUUUACUUUAAAACUCGUCGUCACUGCAAGAGUUGAAACGUGCAUAUACAUCUUCACAAACAGCUCUCGCUCCCUAGAGACUCUAUCCGAAUAGAAAUCGCAAAGAGAGGGGAAAGACACAGGGAGUAUUUCAGACAUGGACAGAGGCUGGCGCGACGCGGCGCUAUAGCGCCGUGUCUCUGGAAAUUGACAACAGGGAAAUUGGGAGAUGGCGCGACGCAGAGCUGUCGCGUUGCCACUUUAUUUGCGAUCUAGAAGUUUGGUGCGACGCGACGACAUCGCGGAGGUUCACUGGAAAAAGGACAAUUGGGAUUUAGGAGUCCUCCGCAACAUGGUGUAAUCACGGAGUCUUACUAGAAACUAAUAAAUGUUAUUUUGGCUUAUGGAGCGAUGCGCCACUGGCUGAAAUGAUGGUGUUUUAUGACUUAAACUUUAAAUCGCCAUAACUUCUUACCCGGUUAUUGGACUUAGGCGAAUUCAGUAUAGAUGGAAAGCUUAUUCAAUUUCCCACACAAUAAAAAGUGAAAAUCUUGAAAAUUCCACAUAUAUAAAAGUGUAUUCAUCUUUAAAGCUUGUCUUUGACAUCUUCGGGACAAAUUUAAGCUAGGUAGAAGUACGGGGUAUUACAAUAUUAAAGACACAUCUUCUAACAAUUAAAUAUGUACACAUCUACUAAUAAUUAAAUACGUAUUAAUAAGUAAUGAAUUUUACAAGAUCGGAAAACUGGCGGUAAACCAUCGGCGAUCCAAAUCUUAUAAUAUUAAAAACACAGUUGAAAUAAAAUAUGAACUUGAUUAAUUCAAACUUAAUUUACAAAUUUGGGAGAAAAAUACAAAGAUCUAUGUAACGACUACUUACAUGUCUUAAGGAAGAAGCUAGGUUUUUCUUUCGGGAGUCCCCUGAAAACUUGACAGCUACCGAAAAAUGAAGAACUAAGAAACUAUUAUAGACCUUUUUACACAUUCUCUUUUUUUUUUUAUGAAGAACUAUCUUACAAACUUUGGAAACUAAGAACUUCAUGAAAAACUAAUUACUUUCUCACUCUUGAUUUUUUCUGUCUAGCUACUUAUGUUUUUCUGUCUAGCUACUUAUGUUUAAGUCUUCCAAAGGGGAGUAUUUAUAGGCAUUUGUGGACUUCAAAUACACUUUAUGGAUUUCAAAUCCAUUUAUAUUUUAUAAGACUUUAGCAAGACUUUUGGAAACUUGGGUGGGGCCCACAAUCACAUGGCUAUGUCUUUACUUUAUCCGUUUAUUUAUUUAUAUGUUACAUCAUCGUAUACGUCUGUAAUUUUGUAUUUAGUAGAUAUUGUCAUUGCUUACGUAUCUAGAUUGUGUAAUGCUUCUAAAUCAAACUCCAUUACUGAAUAUUUAUCGAUAUUUGGGUCUUAUGCAAAUUGAUCCAUGGCUGAGUUGUAGUCUUGUUCAUACUCUUCACUGUCUCCGUCUGAUAGUCCCAGUCUUGUUCCUGUUCAAAGUGAUCUUGUCUCUUCUCUUGGAAAUUUUGGGUCUUAGCUCUGGCGGUUCUGGAUUCAUUGCUAUUUUUUGGGCAGUUGUUCUGCUAACAAUUUUUUUAUAGAGUCUACUACCAUUUUUCUAUAUUUCUUUUUUCAUCUUUCUUUUUUCUAAAGAAAAAACCUUUCUUAGUCUGAGAAGGACUUCUUUCAUCUGUGGUCUGAGUACCUGUGUUCUUGAAACUGGCUGGGAGUAUUCUCCCUACACUUUUUGGCAAAGUGUCAGCCAUCAACAGAUUUGAUAAGUCUUUACCAGCUACCGUUUGAGCUGGACUAGCUGUAUGAUUACCCGAUACAUUAGGUAUUUCUACAUUCGUUGGGGUAUGCACACCCAUUAACAAAUUUGAUAAGUCUUUACCAGCUACCGUUUGAGUUGGACUAGUUGUAUCUUUACCCGACAGUGGGUUUUUUUCAUUUUUGAAGAAGAUGGAGAAUUAUUUAGAAUUUUUUGAGUCUCAUAAAUUGGCUGAGUCUGUUGUGAAAGUUUAAAAUGAAGAAUUUUUACACGGUCUUGUAAAAUACUUAUAUGUUCUAACAUUUGUCCUUUUUCAUUUACAAGGUUUUCAUUAUCCUGUCUUAAAAUCUCAUUGGCAUGAUUUAGUUUUCUAAAACCUUCAGUCAUAGAGGAACAAUGAUCACAAAAUAUAAUUUUGUUCGUGUCUUUUUUAAUAUUAUAUUGAGAAAUUUUUUGCAUUUCUAGUCUUAAAGCUGGGGUAAUAAAUUAAUUUAGCCCUAAAUUUAUACGGGCAUAAUCUAAAGCCUCUGUUAAAUUUUCAAAGCCUUUAUAGAGACGGGAUGUAUAGUCUUUUACAAAAUCCAUUACCUCUGUCCAUGUCUGAAAUACUCCUUGUGUCUUUCCCCUAAUAACAACAUAAAAUUUAAAUUUGUUAGUGCUAUUUUUCUCAGUAAAAUAAUAAAUUAAAGCAUUCAGCACUGAAAUAAAGUAUUAAUGUCUUUUGGUGUCUAG